GAGUGGAGUGGAGUGGAGUGGAGUGGAGUGGAGUGGAAUGGAAUGGAAUAGAAUAGAAUAGAAUAGAAUAGAAUAGAAUAGAAUAGAAUGGAGACUACUGGGAUGAUUAAGUUAUGAGCUUUUGGCCUCUGCAUUUAUUUAUAUAUGAGAAGUCUCAGAGACAUGAUUUCAAGGAACAGAGAGGAUGGAUGGAAAACCACGAGGUUACGAUGGCACCAACUACAGUUCAUCCUCAGCUACAUAGCAAAUUCAAGGCCAACCUGGGCUACAUGAGACCCUGUCUUAAAAAAAUAAAAGGAGAAGGAAAAGAAUAAAGAAAACUCAGCUGGGUGAGGAAGCAGAGUUCUUUGCUUCU
rnacentral:lncRNA from 1 species